UAAAUUACCCUGUGAAUGAGUUUAAGAAGAAGAGUUCUGAAAUAAAGAACGCAAUUCGAAACCCUGACUGAUGGAAUCUGAAUCAUCACUUGUUCUUCCAUGGCAUUGGGUGAUUGAAGCCCUAGCUGGUUUCAAAGAAAUCACCUUACCCACUUUACAAGCUUUGAUUGAUGCUUCCCUUUUAACGCAUCAUGAUUUUUCUGAAACUACCAAAGAUUUGAUUGCUUUGAAGUGUUUGGAGGAACUUUACCCUUCUUCUUCUUCUUCAACAACAACAUUGGAGGAACUUGAUUCUUCGCUUUCAUCCCAAGACGUUCUUCUUCAAAUAUUGCAUCAGGUAUCGUUAUCAAAUCUAAGAACUUCUGGACCGGAGCUUUUCAAAUGGGAUGUUAACAGAUUUAUCGCGCACAAACGAGCCGACAAUGUCAAAUGUCAGUUAGAGAAGCUGAAAGAAUCAAUACUGGACGGUACUCUACCACUUAAUGAUCACUUAAAAGAAAGGAGUGGCUUAUUCCAAACGAAUCGGGCUCAUACUGGCAAAUGCUAUGGGUACUCCACUUACGCACAAGACAGUGGAGAAAAAGAGAAUUCAGUGUCUUUAAUACCAGAGGAUAAUAAUUGCUUAUCUUCUAAGAGGAAUAGGGUUUACUCAGCUAAUGAACAUGAACCUGAUUUGCAUCUUAAAGGUUCAAAUCUUUCUCAGAAGACAGUUAGCAGUGAUAAAUCUCAAGACGAUACAUCUGUGUAUCAAUGUGAAAAUCUUAAUCUCGUGAUGAAAAGGCGCAAAAAGGAUAGUCAUGAUAAGAAGUUUAACAAGGGCAGUCAAUUACUGGUUAGUGAAGCUACUAGUGUUCCACUAUUGGUUCCUGAAAGUUGUAUUGGCAUGCUGACUAACAUUUAUCCUCGGCAUACAUCUGGAGUUGAGCCUUGCCGUAACAAAUUAAUAGAUGAAGCUAAUGAUACUGUACAUGUUGAGCCCAUUCCAACAAACGAUGAUGGUAAUGCAGAUAAAGUUCAGCAUAUGACUGAUGAAUCUCAACCCAAACAAAAGGAACCAAAUGUUGCAUCUUUAAAGGGCUCGCAAAAGCCAGCUGCUAGUGAUAAAGCUGUAGUUGAUACUGUCAAUGAUUGUGGAGCAGAGUUAUCAAGUGACAGUGAUGUGUAUUACAAUGAAAAGAUUGAUCUUACAGCGAUAAAGGCUGAAUUCCUGAGUUCCCAGCAUGCUUCCGGUCAAGAUUUGCCAGCAAUGACUGAAUCAAGAGGACAAAACCUCUGCAGUAAAUGCAAUGAAGCUGGCCAAUUACUGGUUUGUACUACUUGCCCAUUGAUGCUGCAUAAAAACUGCCUGGGUGAUUCUGCUCAGUUGGAAGCAAAGGGAAACUUUCUCUGCCCAUUUUGUAAAUAUUCUCACGCUAUUUCAGAAUAUCUUGAAGCCAAGAAAAUAUCUUCUUCGGCAAGGAAAGAAUUAGCUAUCUUCAAUAGUAAGGGUUCUAUAGAAAAUUAGGCCUUACCUGGUUGGGGCGGCUGAUGGAUCUCUUGAAUUGGUAGUCACUGGGGAGCCAAUUGUAAAGGUAUGAAUCACAGGUCCAGCUGCUGGUGUCAUAACUGUUCGUGUUGCUGGUACACAAAAAUUGCGAGAAAAAGUAUCUGCCAUAGCAGUUCAGCUGUUAUGAUAUUUUGAACUUCGAUGUUAAAACUGUAUCGAAAUGAGAUGAGUUCGAACUGAUGGAGUGUCGAAGCUAUUUGUGAAAUUUGCGCUAAUACGAGGUUUGAAGGACAAGGUUGUUUGUAUGUUGGAGCUUAUUUGUACUUGUGUUAAGGUAGCGAAGAAAGUUAUCUAUUAUCUGGGUGGUAAGAGCAGAAUUAGGCAAUUUAACAUGUAGGGUCACAGUUCAAACUACCUUACGAUAUGAUAUUUCUUUAUAUUUGUCUGCUAAGGACAUUGAACAUAUUGCCACUAACAUCAGAUCUCUUUUAGGUAUACUAGUCAAGGAGAGGUAUCUAUCAAUUAUGUUAAUAGUAAGAAAGAGUGCCUCUGUCUGCAAUUCAAGACGAUAAUGUACUUUAACCAACCAGUCCACAUUCAAAUUAUUAAUAGCAUCUUCUGUUUCCAUGUCAACAUCAUGAUUCUCUGGCUCAAAUGUCAAAGAUCCGGCGAACAGGCUACGAAAAUGCAUUACAGUUUAGAAAUUCACCAAGAAAAAUCAGGGUGGGGGAUAGAGCGUUUUGUAGUCAGCUUGUAUAAUUGGUGUAACUUAUCAAGAUAUUCAGCUUUUGCCAUAUUAUUAAUAGUAUCAUCUGCACCCAUGUUAA